GACCCAUUGGUACAGUGGUUAGCACGUGGAGCUGUUAACUCUAAGGUCACUGGUUCGAUUCCAGUAUGGGUCG
rnacentral:tRNA from 1 species